UACGGAGGGUGCGAGCGUUGUCCGGAAUCACUGGGCGUAAAGGGCGCGUAGGUGGCCCGUUAAGUGGCUGGUGAAAUCCCGCGGCUCAACUGCGGGGCUGCCGGUCAUACUGGCGAGCUAGAGCACGGUAGGGGCAGAUGGAAUUCCCGGUGUAGCGGUGGAAUGCGUAGAGAUCGGGAAGAACAUCGGUGGCGAAGGCGGUCUGCUGGGCCGUUGCUGACGCUGAGGCGCGACAGCGUGGGGAGCAAACAGG
rnacentral:rRNA from 1 species